rnacentral:rRNA from 1 species
AUUGAACGCUGGCGGCAUGCCUUACACAUACAAGUCGAACGGUAACGGGCCUUCGGGUGCCGACGAGUGGCGAACGGGUGAGUAAUACAUCGGAACGUGCCCGAUCGUGGGGGAUAACGAGGCGAAAGCUUUGCUAAUACCGCAUACGAUCUACGGAUGAAAGCAGGGGACCGCAAGGCCUUGCGCGGACGGAGCGGCCGAUGGCAGAUUAGGUAGUUGGUGGGAUAAAAGCUUACCAAGCCGACGAUCUGUAGCUGGUCUGAGAGGAUGAUCAGCCACACUGGGACUGAGACACGGCCCAGACUCCUACGGGAGGCAGCAGUGGGGAAUUUUGGACAAUGGGCGCAAGCCUGAUCCAGCCAUGCCGCGUGCAGGAUGAAGGCCUUCGGGUUGUAAACUGCUUUUGUACGGAACGAAAAGCCUUCUUUUAAUACAGGAGGGUCAUGACGGUACCGUAAGAAUAAGCACCGGCUAACUACGUG